rnacentral:piRNA from 1 species
UCCAGGAAAUAAUGAAGAUGGGAGGCCAGU